UGGGGAAUUUUGCACAAUGGGGGCAACCCUGAUGCAGCGACGCCGCGUGAACGAAGACGGUCUUCGGAUUGUAAAGUUCUGUCCUGGGUGAAGAAAAAGACGGUAAUCCAGGAGGAAGCCCCGGCUAACUACGUGCCAGCAGCCGCGGUAAUACGUAGGGGGCGAGCGUUGUCCGGAAUUAUUGGGCGUAAAGGGUGCGUAGGCGGUUUUUUAAGUUUGUCGUGAAAGCCCGGGGCUUAACCCCGGUAAGCGAUGAAAACUGGAAGACUUGAGUGAUGGAGAGGAACGUGGAAUUCCUGGUGUAGCGGUGAAAUGCGUAGAGAUCAGGAGGAAUACCAGUGGCGAAGGCGACGUUCUGGACAUUAACUGACGCUGAGGCACGAAAGCGUGGGGAGCAAACAGG
rnacentral:rRNA from 1 species